GUUGGUUUAGUGGUAAAAUUCGUCCCUGCCACGGACGAGACCCGGGUUCGAUUCCCG
rnacentral:tRNA from 11 species